GAGGGCGGUGACGUCUGCAGUGGUAGUGAAACAUCUCUUGAUGCGAGUGUUUCCCUUCCUCUCAGGUAAACGAUCUCCUGCUGCCUCAGAGCCGGAGGGAAAUACAGAGGGGGUGCAUAGAAACCAUAAAGAGCAUUUUGUUGCCUCUGAGCUGCAGCAGGUAUCCUGAUUACUUUGCAGGAAUUCAGUGAGUAGUCUUUGAGCACAUUUUGUCUAUCACGAAGAUCCAUUCUCCUGUGAAUGUCUAACAUUUGGUCCCAUGAAGUAGCUUUGUAGGGAUCCAGUUCAGUGACUGGAAAAGAGAUGCUGCAUCUACUGCUGUUAGGAUGCAAGACAGAUAAAUCACUUAAGUUCAUAUGCUGCCUUUGUACAAUGUGUGAAGCUGGAUGUGUGUGAGUCGUAAUAAGUGGAGAUUGAUCAGAGUGCAGAUUCUUAGAACCACUAAACUGGUUAUCCAGGAUUUCCUGCUUCGCCCUCUUUACUUUAAUGAAGCUUUCACACUCAAGCUGCCUUUUCCUGUAAACUGAGCUGCUGUGUCUGCCAACAAGAUCUGGAGUCACCUUUGGGUCCUGUGAUUUCUCUGUAAGACAUAAAUCCUUCAUUGUGUCGGUUUGACAGCUCCUGUGUUUCUCCUUCUCAUCAGGUUUCUCCCUCCAGUGCAGGUUUGGAGGCUGGUCCGGCUGCUCCCUCUUUGUUGCACGACUGUGGCAAGACGCUGGUGAAGGUGUGCGAACGUCAGAAGGGGGUGGAUGCAACAGCAGCUUCAGAAUAUUCGCCAAAGCAGUUGUGGAUGUGGAUAACAACAGUAUACAACAAUCUGUCCCUCUCUAUCUCCCCACACAUCCACCAACCACUGGAACACAUCUCCAAAGUUCUGCAGGGCCAGCUCAGCUUCCCCUCAGAAGAAGUGCUGCCACCUGCCAGAUGAAGGAGCCUUUUGAGAGGCAGCUGGCAUCGUGAUUGGACUGUACUUUGGUCUGUUCCAAUCCAGCUUCAGCUCCAGAGACGGCAGGCGGGACGAGUCAACGGAGGCCGGAUGGACGAAGACAUGCAGCUGAGUACAAUCCAGAAAACAACAGAGGAGGAGUGCAGGGCCCAGAGCCAGAACAACCAGAGUAGCAUAAAAACUCCUUUAACUUAACAUGUCAACAAAACAAAAACGUAUGAACAAAGUUUUCUGUU
ensembl:lncRNA